CCCAGCUGUAGGCAACUGCCUAGGUUGCCUUACACCUAGGCAAGUGUUGCACUGCUGGGAGAAAAGCAGCCAGUAGUAGCUGGUGGGCAUUCUGGACCUGGUUAAUGUCAAAUUUGGGUUAACUAUAGCAGGAUGCCAGCAUA
rnacentral:snoRNA from 1 species